rnacentral:lncRNA from 1 species
AAGGGAUCAGGGGCGGAUUCUUCCCCAUGGUUCCUGUGGAUUGGGGAUUUGAACUCGAACCCUCUUGGUUAGGGUUUGGGUUGGGGGAAACGGUGCUAACGGGAGUCACGCGAAGGGGAGAAUUUUGGUUAGAGUUCACAGUCACCAUUGUUGAGAUUUCGUAAAACAGAGAAGGAAGUUCUGAGAAGAAGAAGAAAGCUCAAAGGUUCAAAGUUCAAAUUGGCAGGUAAAACCGUCAAAAU